CAGCCGCCGCGGUAACACGGAGGGUGCAAGCGUUAAUCGGAAUUACUGGGCGUAAAGCGUGCGUAGGCGGUUCGUUAAGUCUGUUGUGAAAGCCCCGGGCUCAACCUGGGAAUGGCAAUGGAUACUGGCGAGCUAGAGUGUGUCAGAGGAUGGUGGAAUUCCCGGUGUAGCGGUGAAAUGCGUAGAGAUCGGGAGGAACAUCAGUGGCGAAGGCGGCCGUCUGGGACAACACUGACGCUGAGGCACGAAAGCGUGGGGAGCAGACAGGAUUAGAUACCCCAGUAGUCCCUGUCUCUUAUAC
rnacentral:rRNA from 1 species